GUUGAGAUCAACUGCAGGGACUGCAGAUACAUUUGCAAGAUGGACAUUAUUUUCUGGAGUUAUUACGCUGCGUUGAAGCAAGCUGUCCCAUUUCUGUUCCCAUGGUCAGAGCCAGA